UUGACGAAAAGGCACACCCGGUGAAAACCGGGGUCGCAAAGCUUUGGGUCUAAGACCGUAAUAUGGUUAUGAUCGCCAGGCUGCCGAA
rnacentral:ncRNA from 1 species